UUAUAUAGGUACAUAUAUAUAAUCUAUAUCUCUGUGUGUCUGUCCCCAGUUUCUGGUACAGAACUCCUGAAACCCUUGUAAAUUCCCAGGUGUUGAGCUCUGGGUGGGGUCCUGGAUGGGGGCUGGUCACCAAAAACACCAAGCCAGGAUCAGCAGCGUAGAAUUCUAGCCCUACCCUCCAUUCUCCAGAAAGGGGAGCAGGGCUAGAAAUGAGUUAAUGAUUAACCAUGCCUUUGGGAGGAAGCCUCCAUAAAAAUCCCCAAAGUCCAGAAUCCAGGGAGCUUCUAGGUGAGUGGGCCUAUCCAAGUUCUGAGGGGGUGACACAGCCCAGGUCCAAGGGGACAGAAGGCCCUGUGCGGGGACCCUGCCAGACCUCGCCUUCCGUAUCGCUCUGUCUGGCUGCUGUCUGUAUCCUAAUAAGCUGUUAAAGGUGUUCCCCUGAGUUCUGGGAGCCACUCUAGCAAAUCAGUGCAACCAGAGCAAGCGGUCAUGGGAACCUCUGAUCUACAGCUGGUGUGUUCAACGCUGGCGACAACCCGGACUCGCCACUGGCAAGGGAACGGGGCUGAGCGCGUCCUGUGGGAUCUGAGGCUCCCUCCAGCAUACGGAAGUUCCAGACCGGGGACUGAUGUGAGCCAGAGCAGGAGCAAUGCCGGAUCCUUAACCCACUGCCCCCAUCAGGAAUCGAACUGGCCCGGCCACAGAGACAAGCCAGAUCCUCAAGCCACCGCGUCACAGCGGGGACGCCACAUCGCGCCGUUCUCCGUCAUCUCCCUCUCCCGCCACCUGAGGAACGCAGGCGUGAGGUUCUACCUGUGCUUCAGAGAGCGUCAUGGCCCCUGAGGCCUUGGUGCCCUGAGAAGAGCCUCCCUCCUCUACCCACCUGGGGAACAUGGAGUCAGCGUUAAAGAUCUGGUUCCGGUGUCCUCACUCCUGCGAAACCCGCCCUGAGGUUGCUCACGCAGUCCGGGGCGGCUGCGUCUGUGCUCCCAGGGCUCCUGGACACUGAGACCCAUGCACCCUCCUAGAAGAGAGUCAAGUACCACCGCCCCGUCAGUUACAUGGUCCUGCGCCUUCUCUGCCUCACUUCUCAUUGUAUUCUCGGCAUUUAACACAGAGACUGUCACAUGGUUUACUGAAAGUCACUAAAUGUUUAUCGAAAGGA